AUGCGCGACCCGGCGGAGAUCCGCAGCCUCCCCAUCGACAUCGCCUUCGCCCGCCUGCAGGAGUGGCUGGUCGACCGAAAGCGGGUGCCGCAGGACUGGCGGAAGCGCCUUGCCGCCAUCCGCGCCCGCCUCGCCGCCGCCUUCUCCUCCCUCCCGCGGGACCUCCACCCCUACCUCCAAACCCUCGAGCUCGAAGAAAUUGGGUACCUUGAGGCAAAGAAGAUAUACAGCAUACUCCUGGAAUCCAACACCGAUAGCAGGAACAUUUUUGGCCGCCUGACAGGCUCCGCGGGCGAAUGGUAUUCGAUCGUUAAAGCUUAUGAGAAGGACCAUGUUUUCCUUGGAGAGGCAGCUCAGAUCAUGGUCCAGAAUGUGAACUAUGACAUACCAUAUCAGAGGAAACAGAUGCAGAAGACUCAGCAGCAGCUAGCAGAACUGGACCGCAGGGAGGCUGACAUUAAGCGACUUGCUGCUCUUUCAGCAACUAGGUAUGCGGAAGCUUGCCAGGAGCUUGGUCUGCAGGGGAUAGAUGUGCGGCAAGAACUGAUAGAAUCUGCAAAAACACUUCCAUCAACAUUUAGCAAAAUCUUGGAAGUCCUGAACAGUGAUACUGUCUCACAGGCCAUGGAGUACUAUACAACUUUUGUUAGGGACUGCCAUACAGAGGAUAAGGAGAACUACAAGUCUGUGGUACACAAUCUGAAACAGUUGCAAGCUAAUCCUCCUUCCCUGCACGUCUCAGUAUGUAAAGAGGUGCAGAAUUCACUUGGAACAGCAAUGGACGGAGGAGAACCCAUCGACUCUAAUGUUCCUGCAGAUGAUAUUGAUUGGGACAUUUCAGUGGAUAAUAAUGGUAUUGACUGGGACAUUGGUGCGGUGGAACAACCUGUGGAAGAAUCUGGCAAUGGUUUUGGGUCUUAUGAAAUUAUUGAUGUCAAUAUAGAGUUGGCAGACUCUGAAACUUACGGUGUUGGUGCUUCAGCCUAUCCAUCUGCAGACAAAGAAGGCCUUACGUGCGAUACAUCCGAGAAUCAGAUUUGCUGGGACAUCUCAACUGAUAAUCCUGAAGAAAGUGCUACUAUCGAGAACGCCCCAACUGAAUCAGGGCAAUAUGAAUGUUUAACUGAGGAAAGAAGUCAGUUGCUGGAGAAGGAGUACAGAAAUAAUAUCGUGGAUGAUUUACUUGAGGUAAAAUCAUUUUUGAUCCUGCGCUCAGCGGAGAUGAGAAAUGCUGAUACAUCAUCUCUACAGCAUCAGGUGCAAGCAGUCUCACCUUUCGUUCUCCAACAGUAUGCUCCUGAACGUUUGGAGAAUAUGCUUGUAGAAGUUUCCUCAGCAAUCUCUCUGCUCACCAACCAGAAAACUCUUGACCUUAUAAUGAUCCUCAACUCUAAAAGGUUUUUGGACAGAUUGGUGUCAACCUUAGAGGAAAAGAAACAUCAUGAGGUGAAACUGCGAGAAGGCUUAGGUGAUUUGUCAGUUAAGCGUAUGGAGCUGCAAAAUGCACUAUCAUCAUCCUGGCCGAAGCAAGAGGCAGCAAUUACAAAAACAAGGGAACUAAAGAAGCUCUCUGAGGCAACGCUUUCAUCUAUGUUCGAUAGCAGACCAGUGCAUAUAAUCGGAGAGAUUAAUAAUUUACUGAGUUCAAGUGUUAGUCAGUUAGCUGGGUGA
rnacentral:rRNA from 1 species